rnacentral:lncRNA from 1 species
UGACAUUGAACCAUUAAUAUGACAAUCACUACUAGCUAGUUUAUAGUAGUUGGAUUCCUUGGACAUGCUUGGUGCAUACUAUUGGACAUAUGGUUAUAUGCUUAGAUAUAUGUCACGCCCCGGGGCCCAGCAGAAGCCCGCCCGGCGCGUGCCCAGACCCGCCAUAUGUCAAAAACAUACAAGGCGUCUACAACAAUGCGAUAAAUAAAGCAAUAAUACGAGGAGAUCUAGCGAUAUCAGAGCAAAGUACAUCUAGAUUUCUACAACAUAGUAAGGUAAAAGAAAUCCAAAUCCAC